CCUACGGGUGGCAGCAGUGGGGAAUAUUGCACAAUGGGGGAAACCCUGAUGCAGCGACGUCGCGUGAGUGAAGAAGUACCUCGGUAUGUUAAGCCCCAUCUGCAGGGAAGAAAAUGACGGUACCUGACUAAGAAGCCCCGGCUAACUACGUGCCAGCAGCCGCGGGAAUAUGUAGGGGGCAAGGGUUAUCCGGAUUUACCGGGGGUAAAGGGGGCGUAGACGGCAGCGCAAGUCUGGAGUGAAAUCCCAUGGCUUAAACAUGGAACUGCUUUGGAAACUGUGCAGCUAGAGUGCAGGAGAGGUAAGCGGAAUGCGUGGUGUAGCGGUGAAAUGCAUAGAUAUUAGGAGGAACACCAGUGGCGAAGGCAGCUUACUGGACUGUAACUGACGUUGAGGCACGAAAGCGUGGGGAGCGAACAGGAUUAGAUACCCUGGUAGUC
rnacentral:rRNA from 1 species